AUGUUUAUGGCGGUCUGAGGGGAGGUAAUGAUUGUAUUAUUAAAUUGUUGAGCCAAGAACCAUUCUUCAAUUGAGAAUAUAUUUGUUUAAGUCAGGAGUAGCAGAAUCUAUUCCAUUGAGCAGUGCAAGAAGGGACUAGUUUUGAUGUUUAUUUUGUGUGUAGCACCACCAGGUUUAUGCUUUUAUUCUGCUAGACAAUGUAGCAUUUGCUACUUGUUUGCACCCUCCCACAUUUUAUUGUUUUUAAUGGUUAGAUGUAAUAGUGGAGAUAUAAGUGGAUACAUCUACCAUUGUCAAUGGACGACUGGUGAAUAAUAUUUUUUGUCUCUAAGAGAUCAAAUUUAUCUUGAUCAGAGUAGUCAUUCUCCUUUUUGUAUG
rnacentral:misc_RNA from 1 species